UUCAAUUUAAACGAAAAUAGCUUGAUAUGAGUAAGAGCCGGCUGUCAUUGAAUGUGUAGCAUUAUGCAAGGGACUAUGCUAAGGGACUGGCUCAUUUAACACACAGCAAACUUCGUGGCAGGGACUGUUCACACGGAGGAAGUGGGUGCUCACAUCAGUCAAGUGACUUGCAAAGAUUGGUGUGAAUCCAGAAGAAAAGGCAUAACCACCUCCUGCUCAGCAUCAUUUCUCUGAUGAUCUUGCCCAGCAGCAUGAAAAUUAAAUGACAUUCAGGAGCAAAUCCUCUGAUGGUCAGGUGGAUGAGAAGUACCAUAAAACACAGUAUUAACUGUAGUCAUUACCCAUGUGAACAAAAGUCAUGCUCAGAAGAUAUAGAGGCACUUUGGGAAAGAGAAGAAAGAUGCACAUCAACAGAGAGCAAGAGAAGAGGAGGCAGAUUGAUGGAGAGUGAAAUACAUUGACCACUGCAUAAAAACCUUGUCUGCUUUCUGUGGUUUAUCAGAAAUAAUCAAUGGGAAAAUAUAAAACUAUUUUCAUUAAUAUCCAUUGUUAUGUAGCUUAUUCCCUGGAGUAUAUUUAAAAUUUCAGAACUCACAAUAUCCUAUUCAAUAUUAGCACAAAACCCCAAUUCAACCCCUAUUGACCAAAUAAUGAUAAUGAUAAUAAUCAAUUUUAAUAAAAAUAAUAAUGUAUUGCCUUUUGAGUGCUAA
rnacentral:lncRNA from 1 species